CUGAUCCAGAGAGAGAGGAGUUACUUUGAAGUGACUAAGAAAGCUGUCAUAAGGAAGGUGCCCUUUGGAUUGGCCCCUUAAUAACUGGAGAAGGAGAUUUGCAGUUGAAAAUGAGCCGAGGUGCAGAAGGAUGAAGCAUCUUGGAAAGGCCCAAAGAAUUAGAAACAUCAGAUAUCAUAAAAGAUCGAACAGGAUAAAGUCAAUGAGGUUUGGACAUGUGAUUAAGUGUGCAACUUCAGGGAAAUUUGACUAUUGGAACAAGGCAUGCUUUUCUUUAUCCUUUACUCCCAAAGAUUGGUUAGAAUAUGGACUUGAUUGAUGAGCAAAUGUGCAGCCAUCUUCGAGAAUUCAGCAUCAUAUUACUUCGGGCUGGGCAACAUGACAGAAUGAGCCAGCUUUGCCAAUUGUU